UUUUUGCUGAGCUUGAUGAUGGCUCUGAAUGAACGCUGUCCAAAUGCUUGACACAUGCUAAUCGAACGUCAUCUAUUUUUUAGAUGAAGUGGUGUACAGGUGAGUAAAUGAUAAUUUAACUGCCUUGAAGUAAGGGAAGAAAAUCCCUUAUAAUAUUUUACUUAGUGUUUAACGAAGUAAAAGMUAAAGAAUGAAUAUUUCGCUUUAAGAUGUUAAAUAUUAUCCCGGAUGAGUACUAAAUAAUUUAGCUCGGGUUCCGGAAGUCGAGACUGAGAGGUUCAUCGGCCACAAUGGGUCUGAAAAAACCCCAUGGCACUAAUGUCCAGCAGUGGGGAAUCUUGGUCAAUGGCCUAACGGCUGAACCAGCAAUUUGGAAGAAUGUACCGGCAGACAUGGUUACUAGUAACCAUCCAAUUAUUUGGCCUUUAGGGUAGGGAAUCUGUCGGAACGAGGAAUUUGUAUGAAAUUCUAGAUAAAGAGUAACAAUGACCAUUUUUAUCUAUAAGUCUUGGCCAAAUUACGUGCCAGCAGUCGCGGUAAUACGUAGAAGACUAGUGUUAUUCAUGUUUAAUCGGUUUAAAGGGUACCUAGACGGAAAAUCAAGCCUUAGUCGGGACUAAUUUUCUAGAGUUUUAUGGAAGAAUGUCGAAUUACUAGAAGAGAGUCAAAAUUCUUUGAUACUAGUAAGACGGGUUACAGCGAAGGCGCCAUUCUAUGUAAAAACUGACGUUGAGGGACGAAGCCUUGGGUAGCGAUAAGGAUUAGAUACCCUAGUAGUCCAAGGAGAAAAUUAUGAGUGCCAUAGACUAGAUAAGUUUAGUUUAUAAAUGAAAGUGUAAGCAUUCCACCUCAUGAGUAAAGCGGCAACGCCGAAAUUGAAAUCAUUAGACCGUGUCUGAAACCAGUAGUGAAGUAUGUUAUUUAAUUCGAUGAUCCGCGAAUAACCUUACCACGUUUUGAAUAUUUUAUUUUAAAUAUCUUACAAGCGUUGCACGGCUGUCUUCAGUUAAUGUCGUGAGAUUUUGGUUCGUUCCUUUAAUUAACGAAAGCCCUUGUUUUAAUUUAUUUUAGAGCAAUUUACCGCUAUAUUUGGUAGAGUAAUAGGGACUAAGACAAGUCAUCAUGGCCUUAAUAACGUGGGCUAUAGACGUGCCGCAUAUGCCUUUACAAAAAGAUGCAAUAUUGCAAAAUGGAGCUAAUCUUUAAAAAUGGAUAUAACAACACAUGAAUUGUAGUCUGAAACUCGACUACAUGAAAAAGAAAUUACUAGUAAUCGUGAAUCACCACGUCACGGUGAAUUUAAUCUCAGAUGGGUACUAACCACUCGUCAGGCGCUGAAAGGAAUAUGUGCAACAAGUUUGGUUAUAUAUUAUUAAUUAAGAAAGUUUUGUUCUAUUAUUAAUAGUGUGUAAUCUUCGUAUGUGUGAUUUUAAUUGGUGUUAAGUCGAAAUACGGUUCGUGUAAUGGAAAUUGCACGGGAUACAUUAACUUU
rnacentral:rRNA from 1 species